rnacentral:rRNA from 1 species
GUCAUGCAGUUGACGAGAUAAGUUGUAGCAAUACGGCUUUGAAAGUGGCGCACGGGUGCGUAACACGUAUGCAACCUACCUUUUACUGGGGAAUAGCCUCUCGAAAGAGAGAUUAAUACCCCAUGAUAUGUUUCUAAGGCAUCUUAGAGAUCUUAAAGCUCCGGCGGUAAAAGAUGGGCAUGCGGUUGAUUAGCUAGUUGGUGAGGUAAUGGCUCACCAAGGCUUCGAUCAAUAGGGGGUCUGAGAGGAUGUCCCCCCACACUGGUACUGAGACACGGACCAGACUCCUACGGGAGGCAGCAGUAGGGAAUAUUGGACAAUGGGCGCAAGCCUGAUCCAGCCAUGCCGCGUGCAGGAUGAAGGCCCUAUGGGUCGUAAACUGCUUUUGUACGGGAAGAAACCUCACUACGUGUAGUGAGUUGACGGUACCGUGAGAAUAAGGAUCGGCUAACUUCGUGCCAGCAGCCGCGGUAAUACGAAGGAUCCAAGCGUUGUCCGGAUUUACUGGGUUUAAAGGGUGCGUAGGCGGACUUUUAAGUCAGUGGUGAAAGCUUGCAGCUUAACUGUAAGAUUGCCAUUGAAACUGAAAGUCUCGAGUGUGGUUGAGGUAACUGGAAUAUAUCAUGUAGCGGUGAAAUGCUUAGAUAUGAUAUAGAACACCAAUUGCGAAGGCAGGUUACUGAGCCACAACUGACGCUGAGGCACGAAAGCGUGGGGAUCAAACAGGAUUAGAUACCCUGGUAGUCCACGCCGUAAACGUUGAAUACUCGAUCUUAGCGAUACACAGUUAGGAUCCCAGCGAAAGCGUUAAGUAUUCCACCUGGGAAGUACGUU